rnacentral:misc_RNA from 1 species
AAGAAAGAAAGAAAGAAGAAGAAAUCUAAGCAGAAUGCAUAGCUUUCCAUCAGUAAUGUGUUUAAGCCAAUCUUAAUCAGAAUUGAUUUGUUAACCAGCAAAACAUUGGUACCGUAGCAUCGAGUCUUCAUGCUCUACAAGAGUACAAAAUAGAAGGUUGGUUGGUUGAAUCACAUUCCAGCAUAUCAUUUGCUAUGUGUUUCUGCAGUGUGAACCACGCCUAUAUUUCUUACUAGUUGGUAGAAACUGGUUAUAGAAGUUGCUUGCAAUGAUAGGUAGGUUAAUGUGGAGUAAAUUGUCACUGGUUACUUUCUACCAAUCUAGUGUUUGUGCAGAAAAAGAGGGAAAUUUAAACUAUUUUAAAUCAUUUAUGGGAUAAAUUAAAUAGUCGUCCACGAUAUUGACACUUUUUUACUACUCCCUUUAUAUACAUCAGUAAUUUUGCACCCUGAAGUUUGGUGGCAAUGAAAAUACACUUCCCUUCUUGUUUCUUGGGCUUGCAGACUACCUCAAUAUGUCACCUUGCUCCGAGAAAUAUUUAUUUUGUCCUUGGCAGAUACCAGGAAUCCCAGGUUGCAUUGACAGAACACGUGCAGCAUCGGCUGUUGCGCUAUGCCUACUUGGGGUGAAUAUUGCAGACUGGAAAAUUCAGUUCCUUUCUCUUUAAUUUAUUUAUCUUUAAUUUUGUAUUGGCAGAAAGAUAAAUAAUUUUCCUAUCCUUGAAAUUCAUCAUCUUAUUUGGUAUAAAUUCUUUUUUGACAUUCAAUGAGCAUCUCUUCCUCUUUUAGCCCCUAGGAUUCCGAGUUGAUGUGAGAAAACUAAAGUGUGCUGGACUGGAUUACCGGCCGCAUCCUUGCAUAUCUUCUGUAUGGGAUCAUUUCCCAUUAGAUUCCUCUGCAAAAUUUUCUGUUUGCUACAUUUAGAUGUGUGCCGGGGUUUUGAAGAACUUGUUGCUUGAUAUAACAAUCAAAAAUGCAAAGACAAUAGACUUUUUUUUUUUUUAAUCCUUAAAAGUUGAAUUCAUAGCAUUUUCUGCUUCCUUUAACACAUGGAGAAAAAUACUGUUUUUCUUUCUUGUUGCGGUCUUUGAAACUACUUGAUGAUGUACAAGCUUACCUCUCCUGCUUCACACAAUUGCCAGCAUGUUAAACUGAACUGUGUUUCGAUUUUGAGAUGUCAUAUUUCCAUUCUGCACUUGAAAUUUUUUGUUUAGUUGUCUGAUAUCCAACUCCUAUUACAAUUAUAGCUAAUUGCCCGUCUUCUAUUAACUCGCUGUCUUAGAUACGUGGUUGUGAAAGUUCAAGACUCUUGGGCAGAGUUACUAGACUACUUCAGGCAACAGGAAGGUGAUAAGCGUUUGUUAGCAUUUACUAAAAGAGGAACAACAACUCAUUCGGUAUUGUUUUCCAUGCUUUUGAUCUCUUCCUGGUGUUAGAGAUUCCAUCCUCAUGAAAUUGUUUGUGUUGCUGAUUACCAAUGAAUCUCAUUGUAUCACAAUCUGUGAUACUCCCACAAUUUUAUAUCUUGUUGGAUUUAAACCAGCAAAUUAACCUACAUCUCUUGAAGUAAACAUUCUACAACUUGUGUCCGAUCGAAUUUGCAGGGAUUCUCCUAUAUAUAGAAGAGGUUAUUACCUCAUUUUUCCUCAGAAACAAGUGGCCUACCACCUGAAGCCUUGCCUGAUUGUAAAAGCGAAACCUUUGGCAGUCGAAACAUUUGGAUUCCAAUGGUUGAAAAUGUCUGGAUCUCUCUGUUAGUGUUGGAAUUGCUUUGUAUGAGGCUUCAAUACAACUAGCUAUAAACCACCUUAAGUUCCCUUCUGAAAUCAUGUUCAUUAACAAGUAAUCAUUUAUAACUGAGGAUAUAUUUGCUUGAUUCUAUUGUAUAAUUGUUUUGUGCUCAAACCUGUAACUGCAGGAAUAGAAUUUUUUUUGGGGUGAUGUAAGAGGCAUUUUUUUUUUAAUGUACACAAUUUGUCCUGCCGAGGACUCAAACUAAAGAUCUCACACCUGUAGAGACAAAUUCAGUACCACUAAGUUAAGGUUUAUUGCCUGUUGAUAUAAAA